GACGAACGCUGGCGGCGUGCUUAACACAUGCAAGUCGAACGGAAAGGCCCUGCUCUUGUGGGUUGCUCGAGUGGCGAGCGGGUGAGUAACACGUGAGUAACAUGUACUUGUCUUUGGGAUAUCAUCAGGAAACUGGGGCUCAUACCGGAUAGGAUCUCCUGAUGCAUGGGGGGGGUUGGAGAGUUUCGGCGGUUGGAGAUGGUAUCGCGGCUUAUCAGCUUGUUGGUGGGGUAGUGGCGUACCAAGGCUGUGACGGGUAGCCGGCCUGAGAGGGUGACCGGGCACAAUGGGACUGAGAGACGGAGCAGAAUCCUACGGGAGGCAGCAGUGGAGAAUAUGGCACAAUGGGCGGAAGCCUGAUGCAGCAACGCCGCGUGCGGGAUGACGGCCUUCGGGGUGUAAACCGCUUUCGACUGUGACGAAGCGUGAGUGACGGUAAUGGGUAAAGAAGCACCGGCUAACUACGUG
rnacentral:rRNA from 1 species